rnacentral:SRP_RNA from 16 species
AUUAUGGCUAGGCUGGGAAGUUAGGCGUCUCCUGUAACUCGAAAUCGCCUUUGCGAGAGCUGAAAACUUGGGGGCGGCUUAAAAUCGUACCUUCCAUUCCCAAGUCCUGUAUUGACAUCUCGUCCUUUGGGGUACGAUGGAGAAGGAGUCUUUUCUGGAAGGAAAAGCUAAACCUUCCUAAUCUUUCGAACCCCGUCAGGCCCGGAAGGGAGCAGCGGUAGGAAGAACUUCAACGCUCAGAGGGUUGCGGGAUAGAGCAGGAUUUGGGGUUAAGUGGUUGUUACGAUUUUUUGCCCACCCCAACGAUGCCUUUUU